rnacentral:rRNA from 1 species
CAGCGUCACGAGUGGCAAUCAGAUUUAUUGGGUCUAAAGCGUCCGUAGCCGGUUUGAUAAGUCUUUUGUGAAAUUGUCGUGCUUAACAUGACAAUGUGCAAGAGAUACUGUCAAACUUGGAACUGGGAGGGGUUAGAGGUAUUCCUUGGGGAGCGGUAAAAUGCUAUAAUCCUUGGAGGACCACCUGUGGCGAAAGCGUCUAACCAGAACAGCUUCGACGGUGAGGGACGAAAGCUAGGGGAGCAAACCGGAUUAGAUACCCGUGUAGUCC